rnacentral:rRNA from 1 species
CCUACGGGUGGCAGCAGUGAGGAAUAUUGGUCAAUGGCCGGAAGGCUGAACCAGCCAUGCCGCGUGAAGGUCAGUGCCCUAUGGGUUGUAAACUUCUUUUAUAUGGGAAUAAAGUGCAGUAUGUAUACUGCUUUGCAUGUACCUUAUGAAUAAGGAUCGGCUAACUCCGUGCCAGCAGCCGCGGUAAUACGGAGGAUCCGAGCGUUAUCCGGAUUUAUUGGGUUUAAAGGGAGCGUAGGCGGGUUGUUAAGUCAGAUGUGAAAGUUUGCGGUUCAACCGUAAAAUUGCAGUUGAUACUGGCAUCCUUGAGUACAGUAGAGGUAGGCGGAAUUCGUGGUGUAGCGGUGAAAUGCUUAGAUAUCACGAAGAACUCCGAUUGCGAAGGCAGCCUGCUGGACUGUAACUGACGCUGAUGCUCGAAAGUGUGGGGAUCAAACAGGAUUAGAUACCCGUGUAGUC